rnacentral:rRNA from 1 species
CACUCCUGCGGGAGGCAGCAGUGGGGAAUUUUGGACAAUGGGCGAAAGCCUGAUCCAGCCAUGCCGCGUGCAGGAUGAAGGCCUUCGGGUUGUAAACUGCUUUUGUACGGAACGAAACGGCCUUUUCUAAUAAAGAGGGCUAAUGACGGUACCGUAAGAAUAAGCACCGGCUAACUACGUGCCAGCAGCCGCGGUAAUACGUAGGGUGCAAGCGUUAAUCGGAAUUACUGGGCGUAAAGCGUGCGCAGGCGGUUAUGUAAGACAGUUGUGAAAUCCCCGGGCUCAACCUGGGAACUGCAUCUGUGACUGCAUAGCUAGAGUACGGUAGAGGGGGAUGGAAUUCCGCGUGUAGCAGUGAAAUGCGUAGAUAUGCGGAGGAACACCGAUGGCGAAGGCAAUCCCCUGGACCUGUACUGACGCUCAUGCACGAAAGCGUGGGGAGCAAACAGGAUUAGAAACCCGAGUAGUCCCA